CAAGAUCAUAAGGGGUGCCUUAAUAAAACGGGCUGAGAUCAUACCCAUACGACCUGAUCCGGGUAAUGCCGGCGAAGGGAAAUGAGCAACAUAACAA
rfam:Algoriphagus sp. PR1 chromosome, whole genome shotgun sequence.